UUAUUUUCAAAAUAUUCUUCAUUAUUUUGAGCACAUCACACAUGAUUCUAAGACAUUCAUAAUACAUAAUUUUAGCAACAAAUUAUAGUAAUACAAAGAAGAGAUCUUGUUUUAAAAGAAAAUCAAGUAAUAAAUCCAAGAACUCACAAGAAGAACGAAUUUAGUCGGGUUUCUAUAUGCAAAACUAUACAUGAGAUUUGCCAUACAAUUGAAGUCACACACGAAGGCACAAGUAGGGUUAAAGAGUCAAAAAUUAAUUUUUUAGUUUAUAGC
rnacentral:lncRNA from 1 species